rnacentral:misc_RNA from 1 species
AUCAGAUCCAACAAGUUAUGGAAGUCUCAAGAUCCGUUCUUUAUAAAAAUGCCAAGUUGGAACACAUACUUUUAAAAUUUUAAGCACAUUAAUCUUUCAAAGGGCAAUAAAAACUAAGAUAGAAGGUCCCAAAAUUUUACUUGCUCUAACACUUGAAAUAUCAAAAUGAAGCUACCACUAAUAGCCUCUCAAGUAACUGUCUCGAAGGCCUCAAGCAGAAGCUACUCCCUUCUUCCUUGGAGCUGCUUCAGUACCUUCUCUGAAAUUGGUCUUGAACCUGCGAGGGACGUUACGAAGAUACCUCAUGCGGCCAGUUCCAGUUGUCUUUCUGCGGAUAGCCUUCACACUCCAGUUGUAUGUCCUUUUACGGGCAGCAGGGUAAGCACAAGCAGAGCAACGGCUCUUCUGGAGAUGGAAGCUCCGUCUUCCACACCUCACACAUAGUGUGUGGGUCUUGUUCCUCCUCUUA